GUGCACUUCACCUACACAUACAGUAAAACUGGAACAAUAGAGAAGAUUAGCCUGGCCCCUGAAAGAAGAUGACAUGCAAACUAGUGACGUGCUCCAUAUUUUU